AUUAUUAUUAGUUAUGGUCUAUAAAAUUAAAAAAUUUGGCGGUAUUUUAGUCUAUUCAGAGGAACCUGUUUUUUGAUCGAUAUUCCACGAUAAUUUGUACUUUAGCUUUAAAUUUAUAUAUCGUCGUUGUUAAAAAUUUUAGGAAAAUUUUAAUUUUUAUAAUUUUUAAUUUUAUAAUAAUUCAGAUCAAGGUGUAGUUUAUGUUAAAGUUAAAAUGGGUUACAUUAAAUUUAUUUGUGGUUUUUUUAUUUAAAAUUUAAAAUAAAAUGGAUUUGAUAGUAAAUUUUUGUUUUAUGAAAAUUGAUUUAGCUCUAAAAUAUGUACACAUCGCC
rnacentral:rRNA from 1 species